rnacentral:rRNA from 1 species
UGGGGGAUAUUGCACAAUGGGCGAAAGCCUGAUGCAGCAACGCCGCGUGAGGGAAGACGGUUUUCGGAUUGUAAACCUCUGUCUUCGGUGAAGAAAAAACUGACGGUAGCCGAGGAGGAAGCCACGGCUAACUACGUGCCAGCAACCGCGGUCAUACGUAGGUGGCGAGCGUUGUCCGGAAUUACUGGGUGUAAAGGGAGCGCAGGCGGGGAGACAAGUCAGCUGUGAAAACUAUGGGCUUAACCCAUAAACUGCAGUUGAAA